GAAAAGAUCUUCUACAACUAAAGUCAUGAAGAAGAAACCACAACAAGACAGGUCUGAGCUUGAAAGAGGAAGUGAAGCGGGAAGAUACCUGCCUACAACCCAUUCUAGGAAAAAGGAACUAUAGUGGUUAAGAUGCUGAAUUGAACCCACACAUCUAAUUUUGCUCCCUCCUGAAACCCACUACAAGUUAUGCAAAAGGAUUUUUUUAAAAAAUGAUAGAAACUCACGAGGACAGAGAGAACAGAAGAUACAGG